UACGGAGGAUGCGAGCGUUAUCCGAAUUUAUUGGGUUUAAAGGGUGCGCAGGCGGAUUUUUAAGUCAGCGGUCAAAUCGUGGGGCUCAACCCCAUCCAGCCGUUGAAACUGGGGAUCUAGAGUGUGCGAGAGGUAUGCGGAAUGCGUGGUGUAGCGGUGAAAUGCAUAGAUAUCACGCAGAACCCCGAUUGCGAAGGCAGCAUACCGGUGCACAACUGACGCUCAGGCACGAAAGCGUGGGUAUCGAACAGG
rnacentral:rRNA from 1 species